rnacentral:lncRNA from 1 species
GACAAUUAUUUUAAAAUAAACUCAAAAUGAUAUCAGAGUCUCAUGAGCAUGACGACGCCGAACCACCAGUACCCACCUCCAUCACCGGUCAGCAAUUUUUCUAGCAUCAUCAUCCCUUCUCUCUGUUCGACUUUCUCUUUCUUUCCUUCCCCUCUCUCUCUCCCACUCUUACAUCUACAUGGAACCCAGAGAUUGUCGGCGGCGACUCCAACUCAGAUCUGCUGUCGUCAAUCUCGAUCUAUCAGCCGAAGUUCACCGACAUCCUCUUUGUUCUUACCUUGGAGUAGGAAAUAGAAUAAAUAAAAAGGGGAAGAAAGAGAGAGAGAGAGAGAAAGCGAUAGGGAGAGAGGUGAUGCGGAAAGGCGGGAUGGGUUGAGCCGUGGAGGGAUGGGGGAUGG